GGGAGGGCAAGUCUGGUGCCAGCAGCCGCGGUAACUCCAGCUCCAGAAGCGUAUAUUAAAGUUGUUGCAGUUAAAAAGCUCGUAGUUGGAUCUGGGUCGCAUGGUUACGCGUCGUUGGUUGUAUGCUUGGCCUGGUUGCGACUGGGUCAGUGUGCGACUCGAUGUUGUGAUUGUGCAGCCUUUCUGCCGUGUCUGUUUCUACAGGUGCUGGCUGGGUUAGCAGGUUCGCCCUGUUGACUCGUUGGCAUGCUCCCAGAUGCCCUUAAACGGGUGUCGGGGGCGGACGGCACGUUUACUUUGAACAAAUUUGAGUGCUCAAAGCAGGCCUGUGUGCCUGGAAAUUCUUGCAUGGAAUAAUGGAAUAGGACUUCGGUUCUAUUUUGUUGGUUUUCGGAUCCGAAGUAAUGGUUAAGAGGGACAGACGGGGGCAUUUGUAUGG
rnacentral:rRNA from 1 species